rnacentral:tRNA from 1 species
GAAGGUACAACUCAGUGGUAAGAGUACAUGCUUAGCAUGCAGAAGGUCCUGUGUUCAAUUCCUGGUACCUCCA